rnacentral:rRNA from 1 species
GAUCAUGGCUCAGGAUGAACGCUGGCGGUAUGCCUAACACAUGCAAGUCGUACGAGAGUUUUUAACUCUAGUGGCGGACGGGUGAGUAACACGUGAGAAUUUGCCUUAGGAGGGGAUACAAUUGGAAACGAAUGCUAAUACCCCAUAUGCUUUUGAGUGAAAUGGAUUUUAUCCGCCUAGAGAGAAGCUCGCGGCUGAUUAGCUUGUUGGUAAGGUAAGAGCUUACCAAGGCGACGAUCAGUAUCUGGUUUGAGAGGACGAUCAGACACACUGGAACUGAGACACGGACCAGACUCCUACGGGAGGCAGCAGUGAGGAAUAUUGGACAAUGGGCGCAAGCCUGAUCCAGCCAUGCCGCGUGCAGGAUGACGGUCCUAUGGAUUGUAAACUGCUUUUGUACAGGAAGAAACACUCCCUCGUGAGGGAGCUUGACGGUACUGUAAGAAUAAGGAUCGGCUAACUCCGUG